CAACCUCCCCCCGAUCCCGUCGCCGCUGCCUCCUACCGAUGCGCCACCACUCCCGCCUCCUUCCGGCGCGCUGUCAUCCCCGCCUUCUUUCGGCGCGCCGUCAUCCCCGCACCCUACCGGCGCGCCGCCGGACCCUCCUUCUUCCCUGGAGCGCCGCCACCCCGCUGCCGCUGCCAUCUUCCCGAGCGCGCCGUUGCCGCCGUCUUCCCCAGAGUGCCACCGCCCCGCCACCCCCGCCCACGGGACCAGUGGUCCCAUCACCGGUCUCCCCCCACCCAGAUCUGUUGGAGGCGCACCGGAUCCUGCCUCACGGCCGGUUCCCGCGACUCAGCCGCCGCCCCAACCGCUGCAGUAGCCGAGCACCUCCACUAGGUGCCCCGGCGGUUCGGACCCCCACCUGGCCCCUCCCUCGAACCCAGCGAGCCUCCGCCCCGGCCUACUUCCCGCGCGAGGUCGCCUCCGCCUCCGCCUGGAUGGAUGGAUUCAGGAAGGUAUCCUUCCUCCCUGGGUGGAGCGAGCUGCAGAUCCCGUCCGGCCCUCGGGAACCGGCCAUCUCCGCCUCCUCCUCGCCGCUGCCGCUGGGGAUCACGUCUUCACCAAACGCGAGCUCCGCCCCAUCCGACCGACCGCAAAGGGAGGUACGACAUGGCGGAAACAAAACUGCACGGCAAUGUGCAUUUCUGCAACACAUCAGGUCUACAUUUUCCAUUGCCCUGGACUUAUGAACGGAAGAAAAAGCAACAUGAAGUUCCUGUCUGCAUCAAACUGCUUUCACUUAUAUUCUGCCGAAUUUGUUCCUUCUAUGGGACUGUACAUGGGGAUUAUCUACAAGGGUUAUGUCCUCUGCAGGUAGAUUAUCUUAUAGGACAGGCGAAAUGCAACAGAAGAAGCUCCUCCGCUGCUACUCGCCAAACUCCAAGCAAAAAGGACCUUCCACUUUCCUUGCUAAUGGGGCCUCAGUUUGUUCGGAAUCAGAUACAACCAUUUGAUCCAUUAUUGUUCGUGGGCGUCAUAUUUAAAAAAAAUUGGAUUUUGUAAAGUUUGCGGUUAAUAAGCCGGUGAGAGCUGAUGGUUCAGUUUGAUCCUGCAUAUUCUUGACCUCUUUCUCUGUCAGGAGGAUAUUCAAUACCAAGAUUUAUGAUUUGGCAUAAGUGAGAUGACAUACAAGUGAGUUUAAUUCGUCAGAGUGAAAUAGCAACAGUUUUCUUAUCAUACCGCCGGCAACUGCACCUCAACUGCGGAAAAAGAAAUCUUGAAGAACCAAGACCACCACCAGCUGGAAGAAGGUAAAAAUCCUUUUUUUCUUCCCCCUCCUCAUUUGAUUUCCAUUUCCUCGCAGCUCUAGGUAAUUUCGUGACCUACCUCUUGGUAAGUCACCGAUCUGCAGAAUGCAUGUAGUGUGUGUGUGUGUGUGUGUCAGAUAUACAGUGAAAAAACACCACAAUGCAAGUGUCAGAUCCUAUUCUUGGUGCAAUUUUGCCACUAUGUUCUGGACCGUAAGCAACUGCUUCAUGUUAAACUAAAGCUCCAAUCAGGCUUGUGGCUCUUCUGUACCUGUAUGCCUAGAUUAUUUACUAAUGGGAUAUGCACUAGAUCUUCCUGUAUAGGAUCAUCAAUUGCUAGGAAUAGUCAUGGUUUUUUAUUAAUUUUUCAUGUUUUUUUAUUUAGUUUGACUUCCACUUAUCUGGUACACUAAAUGAUCUCUAGCUAUUUUUUAACUAUUGAUUAGUACACUGAGAUGAAUUCUAUUGGUCUCAGAGUGCAAGAGAUUUCCUGGAUG
rnacentral:rRNA from 1 species